ensembl:snRNA U6 U6 spliceosomal RNA
GUGCUUGCUUUAGUAGCACAGAUAUCAAAAUUGGAACAAUAUCAUGGAGAUUAGAAUGACCCCUGCACAAGGAUGGCAAGCAAAUUUAUAAAGCAGUCAAUAUUUUU